UACGGAGGGGGCAAGCGUUGUUCGGAAUUACUGGGCGUAAAGGGCGCGCAGGCGGCUGCUCAAGUCAGGCGUGAAAGGCCUGGGCUCAACCCGGGAAUUGCGCUUGAGACUGGGCUGGCUUGAGUGCGGGAGAGGAUGGUGGAAUUCCCAGUGUAGAGGUGAAAUUCGUAGAUAUCAGGAGGAACACCGGUGGCGAAGGCGGUGAUCUGGGCCGGCACUGACGCUGAGGAGCGAAAGCGUGGGUAGCAAACAGG
rnacentral:rRNA from 1 species